GUAAAUAUUAUUGACUCUCGUGUAUUUGAGAAAUAAGUAAGUAAUAAUAAAAAUACAUAAUUCAAAUGCUUCACUGGCAUUUACUCUUAAGAAUUAAAUUCUUGUAUCCAAGAUGGAAAUCGAUGACGAAGAUGUUGUCGUAGACGGCACAGAUUUACAAAAGUAUUUGAACGCUGUUGGAUACUCUGAAUUUGAAGUUUCUAAACAAAAACCUGUUGAAAAGCUUUGUCCAACUGAAGUACAAAAAUGUUCAAGGAAAAUAAUGAGACCAACCCAAAAUCAAAAGGACUUUGGAUUGUGUGUAACAUUAAUCAAGAUAAUCAUGGAAAGUCAACUUAUUUUCAAAGAAGAUACUUUAUUUAUUAAGGAGUUUAUUCCAUCAGAACAUUUUAAAUAUCCUCCAUUUCUUACUAAACGGAAAAGUAUUACUCUACUUAUACUAUGCGUAUUCUGUAGUUUUAUGAAUAUGUUUUUUUCAAAAUUCUGGGAUGAAUGGACAAUCAUAGGUAUGUUCAUUUUUUGGUUUGGUUGUGUGUUUAUGGAUGUACUGUAUAACCUAAACCAAAAUAGAAAGAUAAAAAAUACUACAAUGAAAACCAUUCAAUCCAUGGAAAAAUUAUCUCUGCUGAUACAAAAGUCUACUCAUUUUGUGCAAGAAUGUAGCAAUCUUCAUAAUAGUUGUUUUCACACAUGUGAUGGUAAAAAUCCUAAUGCCUUCAAAUACUUAUUGAUGCCAGAAUUAAGAACUUUGCUUAUAACUGUAUUACAAGAUUUGAUCAAUAAUCUUGUAUAUAAUGUAUCUGAAGUUCACACAUUUUUCCCUCUAAAAGAUUCGGUUUCCAACAUUGUUUAUUUGUACAAAACAGACUGCAAAAUAGAUUUAAAAAACACUUCUUUUGAAAAUAUAAAUAAAGCCAAGUACACUUAUUUUUUAUUACAAUCAGAAUUCUUGAAACAGUUAGCUCUGUGUUUAUGUCCAGCAUUAUGGACUCCUCACAGUUUUUUUCAUUUGAAUCGUCUAAUUGAAACUAUUGGUAAAAUUGAAGAAAUUUAUUCUGACUUAUAUAAUGUUUUAUAUGAUGAGUAUAAUGUUUAUUCUAUGUUCAAAAAUAAUACUAAAGAGCAUAGUAAACAACCAGUUCAGUGUACAAACAUAAAUUCUGAUCUGAAACUGAAGAUAUAUAGUAUUCGACAGUUCUUACAAAACAUGAUGGUGCAUGUUCGGUUCAUGGAAGACUCAAUUGAAAACUCUUCAGCGUGCAGUAUUGAUGAUAUAAAUAGUACAUUGAAUGUUUUAUUAAAAGAUGUCAGUGUUUUUAAUGAACUUAUUUCAGCUUUACAAAUUAACAUUCUAAAAAAAAAUAAUAAUCAAACAGAUAAAUCUAUAUUAACUAAUGAUUCUAUUGAAGUAACUGACCAUAUAGAUACAGAGACCAAUGAACCAAUCAAAGAAAUCUGUGAAGAUGAAUUAUUUUUUGGUGUAUCUGAAGAACUUACUGAAAAUAUGGAGAAUACAUUUUGUAAUGAAGUUAUAUUUGAUAAGUCUAACAAUCAUAAUUUAAUGUUAGAAUUGAAAGUGGCGCUUAAAGAUAAACAAGCAGAAUGGAAACAACGAGAAUGCAAGUUGUUAGAAAAACAUCCACAGUUAAAUGACUCAUCUGAUGACGAUGAAAGUAAUGAGACACAAGUUCAGUACAUAAAUAAAGUGCGUAAAGUAGCAUUAGACUUGCCUUCCGAUGAAAGCUUUUCUAUGCAAUUACCUGAUAAAAACUUUGCUAGUGAAAUAGCCAUGGUUGCUUGUAAACGGAAUACAGCAAUUGAGUGUUUUGGAGAUGAUUCUGAUUCAAGUACAUCAAUAGACUCAAAUGAUUCUUAAAUUUUGGGAUAUGAUGUAAUUCUAUUGUUGUUCCAAUCAAACGUGUAUAAUAUGCAACAUUAUCUUAGCUUACAAAAACAAUGUUUUAAUUUCAUUAAAGAUUCAAAUAGCCAGGUGAUCUGAUUUAAAGAAUAAUGUGACAUUACAAUAUACAGGUGUACUUCCGAAAUCUUUGCAUGCUAUGAAGAUUUUUUCUUCAACAAUUGUUUAAAAAAAUAUAAAUAAGUUGAUCAAUGUUGAAUCUAUCAUAUAAAGAAAUUGUAUGUGAUAUUAAGAAUAAAAAUACAAAACAUUCAGAUAUGACUUAAGAUUAUAAAUGCGCCUAUAAUUCAAUUUCAAUUUAACACAAUUCAAUGUAAUGUUCAUUAUUAGAAUUAAG